rnacentral:misc_RNA from 1 species
UCUCCGUAGGUGAACCUGCGGAGGGAUCAUUACAGAGCAUCAUGCCCUUCGGGGUAGACCUCCCACCCUUUGUAUACCGUGCCUUUGUUGCUUUGGCGGGCCGCCUCGCGGCCACCGGCCUUCGGGCUGGUGUGUGCCCGCCAGAGAAACCCAAACCCUGUCUUACAGUGUCGUCCGAGUACUAUAUAAUAGUUAAAACUUUCAACAACGGAUCUCUUGGUUCUGGCAUCGAUGAAGAACGCAGC